rnacentral:tRNA from 1 species
GUUAAUGUAGCUUAAUUUAAAGUAUAGCACUGAAAAUGCUAAGAUAAAGUUUAAAAACUUUCAUAAGCA